rnacentral:sRNA from 1 species
AUGGGUCGCAAGGGAAAAGAACUGACAUCUGAUCAGAAAAGUCGUCUCGCUGCAUUAAAUGAUGCAGGUUACAGAAAAAGUGAAAUCGUCAAAUUGACAGGCAUUAAACAGAGUACUGUUUACUGUUUUUUGAAGAGGUAUGAGCACCGGGGUGAUAUAGAAAACAUUCGGAGAACAGGCAGACCAAAAUCCUUUCAUGACCGGGACAUGAGAAAACUUUCCCGUUGUGUAAAAAAACAUCGCCGUAAAUCUUUAUCUGAAAUUACUAAUAUUUUUAAUGAGAGCAUUGAUCGACCUUUCUCUAAACGAACUGUUGAACGCAAAUUACAUUCUGAUGGGUUUCACAAGCGGUCAGUAAAGAAAAAAAUUCGUAUCCGUGAGGUCAACAAGAAGAAACGAGUGGCAUAUUGCAGGGGGAAUUUACAUAAAACUGUUAAUGCACACUGGAGUAAAGUAAUCUUCAGUGAUGAGUGCAAGGUAAUCAUUGGGCAGGAUUCUCGUGUCAGUGUCUGGAGAAAGGUCGGAGAAGAGUGGCUGAAACAGAUUGUAUUUGCCCUCCAUCUCAGCGCAAGUAUAGUUUAAUGAUCUGGGGAUGCAUCACUUACCAUGGUGUCGGAACUAUUACUGUUGUUGAAGGUAACAUAAAUGCCUUAAAAUACAUUGAAAUUAUUGACAAUAACUUGUGGCCAGUGGUUGUUCGUCAUUUUCCAGAUGAUAACUACGUUUUUCAAGAUGAUAAUGCCCCCCUCCAUCGAGCCCGAUCUGUUCAAGAUUUUCGUAGGGAAACGGGUCUAAAAAGCAUGAACUGGCCAGCUCAGAGUCCCGACCUCAAUAUUAUAGAGAAUUGUUGGUGGGUAUUAAAAAGGGAACUGCAAAAACGAACUCAGAACAUAAAUAAUACCAAAGACCUGGAACGUGAAAUUCGUGACAUAUGGGACAAAUUAACUGUUACUUACCUGAAAUCGUUGUAUAACAGCAUUCCAAGGAGGAUUUUACGAGUAAUGAGGAACAAAGGAAACAUAACAAAGUAUUGAGGUAGGAUUUUUUUAUUUUGUUACUUGUUAAAUAGUUCCAAGUUUUUUCAGGUGCAGAUUUACAUUGACUGGCGGCCAUUUUGUUUUUACGAAUACUUAUGGCGGACGACUGUAUAAUGGUUUACUUUUACAAAUAGUGACUUGGAUGGAGAGUUGUCUCAUUGGCACUCAUACCACAUCUUCUUAUAUCUAAACACAAAAACUCAACAUUGAUAAUUCACCAUAAAAAUCAGGUCAAAAUCAGGUGAAAACUGCCAGACAGACAUGUUCA